rnacentral:rRNA from 1 species
CGGGUGAUCUGCCCUGCACUUUGGGAUAAGCCUGGGAAACUGGGUCUAAUACCGAAUAUGACCAUGGGAUGCAUGUCUCGUGGUGGAAAGCUUUUGCGGUGUGGGAUGGGCCCGCGGCCUAUCAGCUAGUUGGUGAGGUAACGCUCACCAAGGCGACGACGGGUAGCUGGUCUGAGAGGAUGGCCAGCCACAUUGGGACUGAGACACGGCCCAGAUCCGUACGGG